GGAGUCUGUCUUGGGUUCAGGGGCUGAUUGACACCCUGGCAGCCCACAAGGAAAUGUGUUUAUCUCAGAAGCAUUUGGCAGAGGUGGCACGGUCGGGGCCAAGCUGGUAGAAAGACUCCAUUUCUCAACCCAGCUUUCUACAUGGAAUUAUUUAGAGGGAAACUUUAUCAGGCGGCCUUCCAGCUCCGCGUCAUCUGUCUUGCCGAGAUCCCUGGAACACCAGGAGUGAUGGAAGCAGGCUCCCCCAAGAUGCAGAGCUCAGGCCUCCCAGUGAUAAAAUGUUCUCAGCUCUCCCAAGACACCGCCUGGGGACAGUCAUUCCGCCUGGCUUUCUGCCCCUGCUACUCAGAGCUCUCACCCAGCAGGUCUGUGCCUCAUGCUGGGGAGUUCAGAAACAGAGUCCCAGUGAGAGCCAGGGACCCUGGUCCCUGCCCUCAGCAAGUCUGGAUUUUGUUUGAGGACACAGCUCCCAUCUGUGUGCGAAAGCCACUUUGGAAUACUUAUGAAGCUGCCGUGUGUCCCUUGCAA
rnacentral:lncRNA from 1 species